GCAGCCUGAUGCAGCCAUGCCGCGUGUGUGAAGAAGGCCUUCGGGUUGUAAAGCACUUUCAGCAGUGAGGAAGGGUAAUGAGUUAAUACCUCAUUAUCUUGACGUUAGCUGCAGAAGAAGCACCGGCUAACUCCGUGCCAGCAGCCGCGGUAAUACGGAGGGUGCGAGCGUUAAUCGGAAUUACUGGGCGUAAAGCGCAUGCAGGCGGUUUGUUAAGCAAGAUGUGAAAGCCCCGGGCUCAACCUGGGAACCGCAUUUUGAACUGGCAGGCUAGAGUCUUGUAGAGGGGGGUAGAAUUUCAGGUGUAGCGGUGAAAUGCGUAGAGAUCUGAAGGAAUACCGGUGGCGAAGGCGGCCCCCUGGACAAAGACUGACGCUCAGAUGCGAAAGCGUGGGGAGCAAACAGGAUUAGAUACCCUGGUAGUCCACGCUGUAAACGAUGUCUACUUGGAGGUUGCGGUCUUGAACUGUGGCUUUCGGAGCUAACGCGUUAAGUAGACCGCCUGGGGAGUACGGUCGCAAGAUUAAAACUCA
rnacentral:rRNA from 1 species